GACGAACGCUGGCGGCGUGCUUAACACAUGCAAGUCGAACGGAAAGGCCCUGCUUGCAGGGUACUCGAGUGGCGAACGGGUGAGUAACACGUGGGUGAUCUGCCCCGCACUUCGGGAUAAGCCUGGGAAACUGGGUCUAAUACCGGAUAGGAGCCAUUUUUAGUGUGAUGGUUGGAAAGUUUUUUCGGUGUAGGAUGAGCUCGCGGCCUAUCAGCUUGUUGGUGGGGUAAUGGCCUACCAAGGCGGCGACGGGUAGCCGGCCUGAGAGGGUGGACGGCCACAUUGGGACUGAGAUACGGCCCAGACUCCUACGGGAGGCAGCAGUGGGGAAUAUUGCACAAUGGGCGCAAGCCUGAUGCAGCGACGCCGCGUGGGGGAUGACGGCCUUCGGGUUGUAAACUCCUUUCGCUAGGGACGAAGCUUUUUGUGACGGUACCUAGAUAAGAAGCACCGGCUAACUACGUG
rnacentral:rRNA from 1 species